CAUGCAGUGUGCAGAUGCCGCUAGUUUAGCUCCGUGCCAUACUCAAAUUUAUUUGAAAUUAUAACAGUAUUUCUGGACACAAACGUGGAUUCUAAAUCGCCCGAACACAGCAUGACGUUGUGCCACAUUUUUUUAAUAUCCUACACCCCACCAAAAAACUGCAAAGAGAUUCAGAGCUACUUGCCACAUCCAAAAACAAGCAAAUAAAACGAGCAAGAUAGCGACCCUGCUAGUGACGUUUGAGAUAAGUAGCCGCAAAUUUGGACUCUAAACUGGCUAACAGCAAGUACUCCGGUCGCAGAAAUAUCUUACAGAAUGGAUGAGUUUAUGGGAAUGACUGCCGAAACUGGCCAACAAAGUUUCUGCUGGGUGGGCUAAAGAACAGACUAGAGACAGCGGCCUUCAACUACAACGGGAGGCGGCCGUCAGGUAGCUAUCGUCAUACACGUAGUUGGCAUUCGCCUCAGGUAAACAGCAGUGUGGCAGAGGGCCACCUUCAGCUGACCGCCAUCUCCUGUGGGACUUCCUUCGUCCAAACAAAACAAACCGGAGGGGUCGGCCAACCACUUGGUUUCGGUGAGUGGAGGCAAAACACGCGAGCGUACAAAGCCAACGCCACACAGCCAACAAUCUAACAAUCAAGAGGUCUGCAGCUCAAAGACUGUGACCAAUUGGGAAUCCUCUGUGAGACCAUCCCUGGGAAGAACGCUGUUUACAGGUCGGUGGACCCCUUGCUAAGGUCAUGUACCCAAACAACAAAGACCACAACACAGCCGCUCUGCUGCUAUGUGUGCCCUGACAAUGCACAUUCCUUACUUCCCAGCAGUGGGGUACAACACACUCUUGACUCUCAUAUCUUCAUUAGAUUGGGCCAGUCUGUUCAACAAAGCUUCGACCUUACAUUCUUAAUAUACCGGGAUAGCACUUUACAUACAUUUUAUAUAAUUCUUUAUGUUGUAUACCCACUUCCUCAGAUGUGGCUCUCUCCUAAGCCAUAAAAGCCGUGUGUUGGCCAUGUGCUUUGUUUAAUAUAACUUUAAUCGCAUCAAAAUGUCUACAUCUAACAGGACAAGACAGAUUUUUUUUCCUCUAAACAAAUUGCUGUAUUCCCCCCCAGUGCAAGAGGCAUCACGGCACACUAGCACAACAAUUUGACUAAAUUCGCUCUGGAGUCUCCACAGGGACACCAAAAUAAACACUAAUGUAAAA